GGAGAGAUGGCUCAGUGGUUAAGAGCACUGACUGCUCUUCCAGAGGUCCUGAGUUCGACUCCCAGUAACCACA
rnacentral:tRNA from 1 species